UUUUUUUUUUUUUUUUUAAAUACAAGAACUAAAAUCAAUUGAAUUAAUUUUUUGGAACAUAACGUGUGGGGUCAUGGAAACACUUGUUAAGAGAACUUCACCCGCGAAAAAAAAUUCCAUCUGAUAAACAAGAGUAGAAAGCAUUAAUGUUGCUGGAAAAUGCAAGAUAAUUCUUCUCUAUAAAAAAGAACAAGAUGUAUCAGUCUCAUAAGAAGAAGAUGUAAGAAUGCAAAUGUUACAAAAAAACAGAGGACCAUCGAACAG
rnacentral:misc_RNA from 1 species